rnacentral:rRNA from 1 species
UACGUAGGAUGCAAGCGUUGUCCGGAAUUAUUGGGCGUAAAGAGCGCGCAGGCGGUGUAUCAAGUCAGAUGUGAAAGAGGCCGGCUUAACCGGCAAGGGUCAUUUGAAACUGAUAGACUAGAGUGCAGCAGAGGAUAGUGGAAUUCCCGGUGUAGUGGUGAAAUGCGCAGAUAUCAGGAGGAACACCGAUGGCGAAGGCAGGUCUCUGGGCCACUACUGACGCUGAGAAGCGAAAGCAUGGGGAGCGAACAGG